GACGAACGCUGGCGGCGUGCUUAACACAUGCAAGUCGAACGGAAAGGCCCUGCUUUUGUGGGGUGCUCGAGUGGCGAACGGGUGAGUAACACGUGAGUAACCUGCCCUUGACUUUGGGAUAACUUCAGGAAACUGGGGCUAAUACCGGAUAGGAGCUCCUGCUGCAUGGUGGGGGUUGGAAAGUUUCGGCGGUUGGGGAUGGACUCGCGGCUUAUCAGCUUGUUGGUGGGGUAGUGGCUUACCAAGGCUUUGACGGGUAGCCGGCCUGAGAGGGUGACCGGCCACAUUGGGACUGAGAUACGGCCCAGACUCCUACGGGAGGCAGCAGUGGGGAAUAUUGCACAAUGGGCGGAAGCCUGAUGCAGCAACGCCGCGUGCGGGAUGACGGCCUUCGGGUUGUAAACCGCUUUCGCCUGUGACGAAGCGUGAGUGACGGUAAUGGGUAAAGAAGCACCGGCUAACUACGUGCCAGCAGCCGCGGUGAUACGUAGGGUGCGCGCGUUGUCCGGAUCUAUUGGGCGUAAAGGGCUCGUAGGUGGUUGAUCGCGUCGGAAGUGUAAUCUUGGGGCUUAACCCUGAGCGUGCUUUCGAUACGGGUUGACUUGAGGAAGGUAGGGGAGAAUGGAAUUCCUGGUGGAGCGGUGGAAUGCGCAGAUAUCAGGAGGAACACCAGUGGCGAAGGCGGUUCUCUGGGCCUUUCCUGACGCUGAGGAGCGAAAGCGUGGGGAGCGAACAGGCUUAGAUACCCUGGUAGUCCACGCUGUAAACGGUGGGUACUAGGUGUGGGGUCCAUUCCACGGGUUCCGUGCCGUAGCUAACGCUUUAAGUACCCCGCCUGGGGAGUACGGCCGCAAGGCUAAAACUCAAAGGAAUUGACGGGGCCCCGCACAAGCGGCGGAGCAUGCGGAUUAAUUCGAUGCAACGCGUAGAACCUUACCUGGGUUUGACAUGGAUCGGGAGUGCUCAGAGAUGGGUGUGCCUCUUUUGGGGUCGGUUCACAGGUGGUGCAUGGCUGUCGUCAGCUCGUGUCGUGAGAUGUUGGGUUAAGUCCCGCAACGAGCGCAACCCUUGUUCACUGUUGCCAGCACGUUAUGGUGGGGACUCAGUGGAGACCGCCGGGGUCAACUCGGAGGAAGGUGGGGAUGACGUCAAGUCAUCAUGCCCCUUAUGUCCAGGGCUUCACGCAUGCUACAAUGGCUGGUACAGAGAGUGGCGAGCCUGUGAGGGUGAGCGAAUCUCGGAAAGCCGGUCUCAGUUCGGAUUGGGGUCUGCAACUCGACCUCAUGAAGUCGGAGUCGCUAGUAAUCGCAGAUCAGCAACGCUGCGGUGAAUACGUUCCCGGG
rnacentral:rRNA from 1 species